AACGAACGCUGGCGGCAGGCCUAACACAUGCAAGUCGAGCGCACCCUUCGGGGCGAGCGGCGGACGGGUUAGUAACGCGUGGGAACAUACCCUUUGGUACGGAAUAGCCUCGGGAAACUGAGAGUAAUACCGUAUGUGCCCUUCGGGGGAAAGAUUUAUCGCCAAAGGAUUGGCCCGCGUUAGAUUAGAUAGUUGGUGGGGUAAUGGCCUACCAAGUCUACGAUCUAUAGCUGGUUUUAGAGGAUGAUCAGCAACACUGGGACUGAGACACGGCCCAGACUCCUACGGGAGGCAGCAGUGGGGAAUCUUAGACAAUGGGCGCAAGCCUGAUCUAGCCAUGCCGCGUGUGUGAUGAAGGCCUUAGGGUCGUAAAGCACUUUCGCCAGAGAUGAUAAUGACAGUAUCUGGUAAAGAAACCCCGGCUAACUCCGUGCCAGCAGCCGCGGUAAUACGGAGGGGGUUAGCGUUGUUCGGAAUUACUGGGCGUAAAGCGUACGUAGGCGGAUCAGAAAGUAUGGGGUGAAAUCCCAGGGCUCAACCCUGGAACUGCCUCAUAAACUCCUGGUCUCGAGUUCGAGAGAGGUGAGUGGAAUUCCAAGUGUAGAGGUGAAAUUCGUA
rnacentral:rRNA from 1 species